CAUUCUUUGGUACGUUUAGCGAUGAAACAAGGGCCGUUAUCUGUCUUGAUUUCUUGUGGCUUCCCUAAUAAGGCAAUGAUGCCCUCCCAAUGAGCAAUAAUGUGUCUGGCUGUUUGUUUGUGAGCCAUCGUGGCUAAUAUUGUAGAGCUAAAGGUGUCGAUAGUUACUAUGAGGUAUUUAUUUGGCUUCAAUAGGUCACAUUCGGUUAUGUCAGUUUGCCAUAUCUGAUUGGAAGAGAGACCCCUUGGAUUGACACCUGCUUCCCACAAUGGGCCCUCCUGACAGUAGGGACAAAGUGCCAUUAUGUUUUUUGCUUGUGACAGAGAAAUAUGAGGUGUUUUCGCUAAGGCUUUCGCUCCAAGGUGUAGAAAGGCAUGUAAAUGCUUUUUGUGGCGUCCAAU